rnacentral:tRNA from 1 species
GCUUCCUUGGCUCAGUUGGUAGAGCGUUGGUCUCAUAUGUGUAUGAGCAAUUUAUUGAAGUUGCGCAAUCCAAAGGUCGCCAGUUCGAGCCUGGCAGGGAGCA